rnacentral:rRNA from 1 species
CCAGGAAGCAGCAGGCACGCAAAUUACCCACUCCCGGCACGGGGAGGUAGUGACGAAAAAUAACGAUACGGGACUCAUCCGAGGCCCCGUAAUCGGAAUGAGCACACUUUAAAGACUUUAACGAGUAUCCAUUGGAGGGCAAGUCUGGUGCCAGCAGCCGCGGUAAUUCCAGCUCCAAUAGCGUAUAUUAAAGUUGUUGCGGUUAAAAAGCUCGUAGUUGGACUUGUGUCCCACGCUGUCGGUUCACAGUUCGUCUGUGUCUAACUGGCAUGCCGUGGGGACGUCCUGCUGGUGGAUGCGGUCGGCCGCGUGCUUCGGCGCGCGCGUCGGCGGUCCGGUGCAAUCCUACCGCGGUGCUCUUCACCGAGUGUCGAGGUGGGCCAGCACAUUUACUUUGAACAAAUUAGAGUGCUUAAAGCAGGCAUGUGGUCGCCUGAAUACUGUGUGCAUGGAAUAAUGGAAUAGGACCUCGGUUCUAUUUUGUUGGUUUUCGGAACCUGAGGUAAUGAUUAACAGGGACAGACGGGGGCAUUCGUAUUGCGACGUUAGAGGUGAAAUUCUUGGAUCGUCGCAAGACGAACCUAAGCGAAAGCAUUUGCCAUGGAUGUUUUCAUUAAUCAAGAACGAAAGUUAGAGGUUCGAAGGCGAUCAGAUACCGCCCUAGUUCUAACCAUAAACGAUGCCAGCCAGCGAUCCGCCAAUGUUCCUCCGAUGACUUGGCGGGCAGCCCCCGGGAAACCAAAGCUUUUGGGUUCCGGGGGAAGUAUGGUUGCAAAGCUGAAACUUAAAGGAAUUGACGGAAGGGCACCACCAGGAGUGGAGCCUGCGGCUUAAUUUGACUCAACACGGGAAACCUCACCAGGCCCGGACAUCGGAAGGAUUGACAGAUUGAGAGCUCUUUCUUGAUUCGAUGGGUGGUGGUGCAUGGCCGUUCUUAGUUGGUGGAGCGAUUUGUCUGGUUAUU